rnacentral:rRNA from 1 species
UACGUAGGGUGCAAGCGUUAAUCGGAAUUACUGGGCGUAAAGCGUGCGCAGGCGGUGAUGUAAGACAGGUGUGAAAUCCCCGGGCUUAACCUGGGAACUGCAUUUGUGACUGCAUCGCUGGAGUGCGGCAGAGGGGGAUGGAAUUCCGCGUGUAGCAGUGAAAUGCGUAGAUAUGCGGAGGAACACCGAUGGCGAAGGCAACUCCCCGUGGGCCUGCACUGACGCUCAUGCACGAAAGCGUGGGGAGCAAACAGG